CCGCCCGGAUUUCGCCGGACGAUUUUCGCCGGACGAGCCAGUUAUUUAUGGGACGCUUUUAUGGGUUCGCGCGCUACCGAGCCGAAGUGCGCCGUAUGCAAAUUGGUUAAUGGGUGUAUAAAUAUCGGCGGGAUGGGGAACGAGGAAAUGAGGUGGUUAUGGGUGAAUUGGUUCGUGUUGGAGAUUGCUGGCGUCGACGAUGAGAAUAAAUUAACGAAAUAUGCAUUCGGACAAUGUCCGUAAGGCGGUUUUUCGGUUCUGGUCUAUCACCUGGAACUGAAGCAUCCAAUACUAUUGCACGACAGUUGUAGAAGUUCCUAAUCAGUGUAUAGGGUAAAAAAAUCAAGGCGGAUUCAUAAAUCACAGGUACACUGACUACAAUUACAGUUACAAAACCCAUCACAGCCUAGUAACAGGUAUAUCGAAACUUC